AUUAACCUCGCCUGUUUACCAAAAACAUCGCCUCUUGAAUUAUUAUUAGAGGUCCAGCCUGCCCAGUGACAAUGUUCAACGGCCGCGGUAUCCUAACCGUGCGAAGGUAGCGUAAUCACUUGUUCUUUAAAUGUGGACUAGUAUGAAUGGCACCACGAGGGUUAUACUGUCUCCUUUUUCUAAUCAGUGAAACUAAUCUCCCCGUGAAGAAGCGGGGAUAAAUAUAUAAGACGAGAAGACCCUAUGGAGCUUUAAAUAAUAUAGCACUUGCAACAUAACAUAAAAAUUUCUGAAUAUUUUAAUUUAUAAGCAACAUGUCUAUAAAUUUUUGGUUGGGGUGACCGCGGAGCAUAACACAACCUCCAUGUUGAAAGAACUUCUUUCUAAGCUAAGAACUACCAGUCGAAGCAUCAAUAUACUGACAUUCAUUGACCCAAUAUAUUUGAACAACGAACCAAGUUACCCUAGGGAUAACAGCGCAAUCCACUUCAAGAGCCCCUAUCGACAAGUGGGUUUACGACCUCGAUGUUGGAUCAGGGUAUCCCAGUGGUGCAGCCGCUACUAAAGGUUCGUUUGUUCAACGAUUAAAACCCUAC
rnacentral:rRNA from 1 species